rnacentral:rRNA from 1 species
CACGAAGGGGACUAGCGUUGUUCGGAAUCACUGGGCGUAAAGCGCACGUAGGCGGAUAUGUCAGUCAGGGGUGAAAUCCCGGGGCUCAACCUCGGAACUGCCCUUGAUACAGCAUAUCUUGAGUCCGAUAGAGGUGGGUGGAAUUCCUAGUGUAGAGGUGAAAUUCGUAGAUAUUAGGAAGAACACCGGUGGCGAAGGCGGCCCACUGGAUCGGUACUGACGCUGAGGUGCGAAAGCGUGGGGAGCAAACAGG